CAAGUCGAGCGGUAAGGCCUUUCGGGGUACACGAGCGGCGAACGGGUGAGUAACACGUGGGUGAUCUGCCCUGCACUCUGGGAUAAGCUUGGGAAACUGGGUCUAAUACCGGAUAUGACCGCAUGCCGCAUGGUGUGUGGUGGAAAGAUUUAUCGGUGCAGGAUGGGCCCGCGGCCUAUCAGCUUGUUGGUGGGGUAAUGGCCUACCAAGGCGACGACGGGUAGCCGACCUGAGAGGGUGACCGGCCACACUGGGACUGAGACACGGCCCAGACUCCUACGGGAGGCAGCAGUGGGGAAUAUUGCACAAUGGGCGGAAGCCUGAUGCAGCGACGCCGCGUGAGGGAUGAAGGCCUUCGGGUUGUAAACCUCUUUCAGCAGGGACGAAGCGUGAGUGACGGUACCUGCAGAAGAAGCACCGGCUAACUACGUGCCAGCAGCCGCGGUAAUACGUAGGGUGCGAGCGUUGUCCGGAAUUACUGGGCGUAAAGAGUUCGUAGGCGGUUUGUCGCGUCGUUUGUGAAAACCCGGGGCUCAACUUCGGGCUUGCAGGCGAUACGGGCAGACUUGAGUGUUUCAGGGGAGACUGGAAUUCCUGGUGUAGCGGUGAAAUGCGCAGAUAUCAGGAGGAACACCGGUGGCGAAGGCGGGUCUCUGGGAAACAACUGACGCUGAGGAACGAAAGCGUGGGUAGCAAACAGGAUUAGAUACCCUGGUAGUCCACGCCGUAAACGGUGGGCGCUAGGUGUGGGUUCCUUCCACGGGAUCUGUGCCGUAGCUAACGCAUUAAGCGCCCCGCCUGGGGAGUACGGCCGCAAGGCUAAAACUCAAAGGAAUUGACGG
rnacentral:rRNA from 1 species